GAUGAACGCUGGCGGCGUGCCUAAUACAUGCAAGUCGAGCGAACAGACGAGGAGCUUGCUCCUCUGACGUUAGCGGCGGACGGGUGAGUAACACGUGGAUAACCUACCUAUAAGACUGUGAUAACUUCGGGAAACCGUAGCUAAUACCGGAUAAUAUAUUGAACCGCAUGGUUCAAUAGUGAAAGACGGUCUUGCUGUCACUUAUAGAUGGAUCCGCGCUGCAUUAGCUAGUUGGUAAGGUAACGGCUUACCAAGGCGACGAUGAGUAGCCGACCUGAGAGGGGGAUGGGCAAAACGGGAACGAGGAACAGGCCCAAACCCUAACGGAAGGCAGAAGAAGGAAACCUUCGGAAAGGGGCGAAGGCGUAACGGAGAAAGGCGGGGUAAGGAAGAAAGGUCUUCGAACCGUAAAAGUUGGUUAUUAGGGAGAAAAAAAGGGGUAAGAAAUGAGGAAAGUUUGAAGGUAACAUAACAAGAAACCCAGGGUAAAUUAGGG
rnacentral:rRNA from 1 species